AUCAUGAAUUCUCUGAUGGUUAUCACCUUCCUUGCUGGUAUUGUCCUUGUCAUUUUCUUGAGGACUGUGAGGAGAGAUCUGACCCGUUAUGAGGAACUUGACAAGGAGGCUCAAGCACAGAUGAACGAGGAGUUAUCUGGGUGGAAACUUGUUGUGGGUGAUGUUUUCCGUGCCCCAACCAAUGCCUCACUUCUAUGUGUUAUGGUUGGAGAUGGAGUUCAGAUCCUUGGGAUGGCGGUUGUGACAAUCUUGUUUGCUGCUCUUGGAUUCAUGUCACCAGCUUCCCGUGGAACUCU
rnacentral:misc_RNA from 1 species